GUUGUAUGGUUAAGUGACUAAGCGUACACGGUGGAUGCCUUGGCAGUCAGAGGCGAUGAAGGACGUAAUAACUUGCGAUAAGCCCAGAUUAGGUAGUAAUAACCGUUUGAGUCUGGGAUUUCCGAAUGGGGAAACCCACGUGCAUAAGCACGUAUCGUUGCGUGAAUACAUAGCGCAACGAGGCAAACCCGGGGAACUGAAACAUCUAAGUACCCGGAGGAGUAGAAAUCAACCGAGAUUCCGAAAGUAGCGGCGAGCGAAAUUGGAGUAGCCCUUAAGCUUUUAAUGAUGCAGGUGAAGAGUCUGGAAAGUCUCGCGAUACAGGGUGAUAGCCCCGUAACCGACACAUCAUAAUCAGUGAAAUCGAGUAGGGCGGGACACGUGAUAUCCUGUCUGAAUAUGGGGGGACCAUCCUCCAAGGCUAAAUACUACUGACUGACCGAUAGUGAACCAGUACCGUGAGGGAAAGGCGAAAAGAACCCCUGUGAGGGGAGUGAAAUAGAACCUGAAACCGUGUACGUACAAGCAGUAGGAGCAGGCUUUGUCCUGUGACUGCGUACCUUUUGUAUAAUGGGUCAGCGACUUAAUUUUAGUAGCAAGGUUAACCGUUUAGGGGAGCCGUAGGGAAACCGAGUCUUAACUGGGCGUACAGUUGCUAGGAUUAGACCCGAAACCAGGUGAUCUAGCCAUGGGCAGGUUGAAGGUUGAGUAACAUCAACUGGAGGACCGAACCGACUAAUGUUGAAAAAUUAGCGGAUGACUUGUGGCUAGGGGUGAAAGGCCAAUCAAACCUGGAGAUAGCUGGUUCUCCCCGAAAGCUAUUUAGGUAGCGCCUCGGACGAAUACUACUGGGGGAGAGCACUGUUAAGGCUAGGGGGUCAUCCCGACUUACCAACCCUUUGCAAACUCCGAAUACCAGUAAGUACUAUCCGGGAGACACACGGCGGGUGCUAACGUCCGUCGUGGAGAGGGAAACAACCCAGACCGCCAGCUAAGGUCCCAAAGUAUAGCUAAGUGGGAAACGAUGUGGGAAGGGCUUAGACAGCUAGGAUGUUGGCUUAGAAGCAGCCAUCAUUUAAAGAAAGCGUAAUAGCUCACUAGUCGAGUCGGCCUGCGCGGAAGAUGUAACGGGGCUAAGCUAUACACCGAAGCUGCGGCUACGUACUUUGUACGUGGGG
rnacentral:rRNA from 1 species